AUAAAUAAAUAAAGUUAAUUGAAGCUGCAUGUUGAUGAUGGAUCUGCACUGAGACAAAAAGACUAGCCUUUUUCUGAAUCGUCAUCGACAAAUAUUUCCGUCAAUUCUAAGACUGUGAGGAGAGAGAAAUUGAUCGGCAUCGAUCAUGUCGUUCUCGUUCUUCAAGCCGUCGAGGCCCAAAACUCCACAGGAGGUGGCGAAGGCCAUCAACGACAGCCUCAUGGCCCUCGACACCCAGACCGUCGUCGAAGUUAGAGCCCUCGAGAAGGCUUUGGAAGAAGUUGAAAAGAAUUUUGGGACAAUGAAGUGUAUGGUUUCUGGAGAUGGGGAGACCGAACCAAAUAUGGACCAAGUUUCGCAGCUGGCUCUUGAAAUCUGUAAGGAGGGUGUUCUUGAUCUUCUGAUUCACAAGUUACCUAUACUGGGAUGGGAAGCAAGAAAAGAUUUGGUCCAUUGUUGGUCCAUAUUAUUGAAGCAAAAGGUUGACUCUACUUAUUGCUGCGCAGAAUACAUUGAGAACCAUUUGGAGUUACUAGACUUUCUUGUCGUGUGCUAUGACAACAAGGAGAUUGCCUUGAAUUGUGGAAAUAUGUUGAGGGAUUGCAUUAGAUUCCCUACACUUGCAAAAUACGUAUUGGAGUCUGCGAGCUUUGUGUUGUUUUUUAAAUUUGUGGAAUUGCCUAACUUUGAUGUUGCUUCUGAUGCGUUCUCUACCUUCAAGGAUCUACUAACUAAACAUGGAACAGUGGUAUCUGAAUUUCUGACUGCUCACUAUGAUGAGUUCUUUGAUCUAUAUGAAAAACUCCUGACAUCUCCUAAUUAUGUGACCAGGAGGCAAUCUUUAAAGCUUCUCUCCGAAUUCCUUUUGGAGACUCCAAAUUCUCAUAUAAUGAAGCGCUACAUUCUAGAAGUUCGGUACUUGAAAGUCAUGAUGACAUUGCUCAAGGAUUCAAGCAAAAACAUCCAAAUCUCUGCCUUCCACAUCUUUAAGGCUACUAUUUGAACCUGCAUGCAGCAGGGGGUAUGGUGUGCUUAAUGUCAAGAUGCGUACUAUUUGGUGUCCAUGAGUUUAUAAAAGUGUUGACUGGCAAUCUGACGUUGAUGCCAUAACUUCUCAUUUGUCCACUUCAUAAAAGCAAUGAAUGAGAUUGCUUAGGUUUCCUUCCAUGGUGAUGAAGAUGAGCAAUUUGAAGAGGAAAAGGAGCUGAUCAUCGCGGAAAUCGAAAGAGUAGCCCAACUAUCUAAUUUUUGAUACAAGCUCGCAUCACCUAGCUGUGUUUGUUCUGAAUCCUGUCUUUUAACUUUCAUGCUUUGCAAUGAUCUUCUGACAAGUUUUCCAAGAAAAGGGAAAAGCAAUGCAUAGAAUAUAAUGCUUUCAAUGCACUAGCAGUGAGUUGGGUGUAUCAAGAACUGUAUGCCCUUGUAAUCUUUGUUGAAUUAAAAGAGUAAAACAAAAAAUCUUUUGAUACACAUGUUGUAAGAGAACUGAAAAAUAUGUAUAAAUGGUUGCCCUUGCUUGAUUUAUCAAACACCUCCAGUUUGGAGAAUUCUACA